GAUGAACGCUGGCGGCGUGCCUAAUACAUGCAAGUCGAGCGAACGGACGAGAAGCUUGCUUCUCUGAUGUUAGCGGCGGACGGGUGAGUAACACGUGGAUAACCUACCUAUAAGACUGGGAUAACUUCGGGAAACCGGAGCUAAUACCGGAUGAUAUUUUGAACCGCAUGGUUCAAAAGUGAAAGACGGUCUUGCUGUCACUUAUAGAUGGAUCCGCGCUGCAUUAGCUAGUUGGUAAGGUAACGGCUUACCAAGGCAACGAUGCAUAGCCGACCUGAGAGGGUGAUCGGCCACAUUGGAACGGAGACACGGUCAAGACUCCUACGGGAGGCAGCAGUAGGGAAUCUUCCGCAAUGGGCGAAAGCCUGACGGAGCAACGCCGCGUGAGUGAUGAAGGUCUUCGGAUCGUAAAACUCUGUUAUUAGGGAAGAACAUAUGUGUAAGUAACUGUGCACAUCUUGACGGUACCUAAUCAGAAAGCCACGGCUAACUACGUG
rnacentral:rRNA from 1 species